rnacentral:rRNA from 1 species
AAUCCAUAGGUUAAUGAGGCGAACCGGGGGAACUGAAACAUCUAAGUACCCCGAGGAAAAGAAAUCAACCGAGAUUCCCCCAGUAGCGGCGAGCGAACGGGGAGGAGCCCAGAGCCUGAAUCAGCAUGUGUGUUAGUGGAAGCGUCUGGAAAGGCGCGCGAUACAGGGUGACAGCCCCGUACACAAAAGCGCAUGUGCUGUGAGCUCGAUGAGUAGGGCGGGACACGUGGUAUCCUGUCUGAAUAUGGGGGGACCAUCCUCCAAGGCUAAAUACUCCUGACUGACCGAUAGUGAACCAGUACCGUGAGGGAAAGGCGAAAAGAACCCCGGCGAGGGGAGUGAAAAAGAACCUGAAACCGUGUACGUACAAGCAGUGGGAGCACAGGUUUACCUGUGUGACUGCGUACCUUUUGUAUAAUGGGUCAGCGACUUAUAUUCUGUAGCAAGGUUAACCGAAUAGGGGAGCCGGAGGGAAACCGAGUCUUAAUUGGGCGUUAAGUUGCAGGGUAUAGACCCGAAACCCGGUGAUCUAGCCAUGGGCAGGUUGAAGGUUGGGUAACACUAACUGGAGGACCGAACCGACUAAUGUUGAAAAAUUAGCGGAUGACCUGUGGCUGGGGGUGAAAGGCCAAUCAAACCGGGAGAUAGCUGGUUCUCCCCGAAAGCUAUUUAGGUAGCGCCUCGUGAAUUCAUCUCCGGGGGUAGAGCACUGUUUCGGCUAGGGGGCCAUCCCGGCUUACCAACCCGAUGCAAACUGCGAAUACCGGAGAAUGUUAUCACGGGAGACACACGGCGGGUGCUAACGUCCGUCGUGAAGAGGGAAACAACCCAGACCGCCAGCUAAGGUCCCAAAGUCAUGGUUAAGUGGGAAACGAUGUGGGAAGGCCCAGACAGCCAGGAUGUUGGCUUAGAAGCAGCCAUCAUUUAAAGAAAGCGUAAUAGCUCACUGGUCGAGUCGGCCUGCGCGGAAGAUGUAACGGGGCUAAACCAUGCACCGAAGCUGCGGCAGCGAACGUAUCACCCAAGACAACUUUACGGAGUUGACGAUUGACGGAGCGAAGCGACGUCAAAGCGUUCAUUAAAGUCGAGUUGGCUUAGGGAUACGUUCGUUGGGUAGGGGAGCGUUCUGUAAGCCUGUGAAGGUGUGUCGUGAGGCAUGCUGGAGGUAUCAGAAGUGCGAAUGCUGACAUAAGUAACGAUAAAGCGGGUGAAAAGCCCGCUCGCCGGAAGACCAAGGGUUCCUGUCCAACGUUAAUCGGGGCAGGGUGAGUCGACCCCUAAGGCGAGGCCGAAAGGCGUAGUCGAUGGGAAACGGGUUAAUAUUCCCGUACUUGGUGUUACUGCGAAGGGGGGACGGAGAAGGCUAUGUUGGCCGGGCGACGGUUGUCCCGGUUUAAGCGUGUAGGUGUGUGUUCCAGGUAAAUCCGGUU